rnacentral:rRNA from 1 species
AUUGAACGCUGGCGGCAGGCCUAACACAUGCAAGUCGAGCGGAUGAAGGGAGCUUGCUCCUGGAUUCAGCGGCGGACGGGUGAGUAAUGCCUAGGAAUCUGCCUGGUAGUGGGGGAUAACGUCCGGAAACGGGCGCUAAUACCGCAUACGUCCUGAGGGAGAAAGUGGGGGAUCUUCGGACCUCACGCUAUCAGAUGAGCCUAGGUCGGAUUAGCUAGUUGGUGGGGUAAAGGCCUACCAAGGCGACGAUCCGUAACUGGUCUGAGAGGAUGAUCAGUCACACUGGAACUGAGACACGGUCCAGACGCCUACGGGAGGCAGCAGGGGGGAAUAGUGGACAAUGGGCGAAAGCCUGAUCCAGCCAUGCCGCGUGUGUGAAGAAGGUCUUCGGAUUGUAAAGCACUUUAAGUUGGGAGGAAGGGCAGUAAGUUAAUACCUUGCUGUUUUGACGUUACCAACAGAAUAAGCACCGGCUAACUUCGUG